rnacentral:rRNA from 1 species
CUUCCAGACUCCUACGGGAGGCAGCAGUGGGGAAUAUUGCACAAUGGGGGGAACCCUGAUGCAGCGACGCCGCGUGAGUGAAGAAGUAUUUCGGUAUGUAAAGCUCUAUCAGCAGGGACGAAGAUGACGGUACCUGCAGAAGAAGCCCCGGCUAACUACGUGCCAGCAGCCGCGGUAAUACGUAGGGGGCAAGCGUUAUCCGGAUUUACUGGGUGUAAAGGGCGAGUAGGCGGGAUUGCAAGUCAGAUGUGAAAACUAUGGGCUCAACCGAUAGAGUGCAUUUGAAACUGCAGUUCUUGAGUGAUGGAGAGGCAGGCGGAAUUCCCGGUGUAGCGGUGGAAUGCGUAGAUAUCGGGAGGAACACCAGUGGCGAAGGCGGCCUGCUGGACAUUAACUGACGCUGAUGCGCGAAAGCGUGGGGAGCAAACAGGAUUAGAUACCCGUGUAUG